UGUGUGCCUUGGUAGUCUCAGAGAGUUGAUUCUGGCUCAGGACGAACGCUGGCGGCGUGCCUAACACAUGCAAGUCGAACGGACGAGGGGAGCUUGCUCCCCAAGUUAGUGGCGGACGGGUGAGUAACACGUGAGCAACCUGCCCUUCGAGGGGGACAACAGCGGGAAACUGCUGCUAAUACCGCAUAAUGUAUUUUGGAGGCAUCUCCGGGAUACCAAAGAUUUUAUCGCCGAAGGAUGGGCUCGCGUCUGAUUAGAUAGUUGGUGGGGCAACGGCCCACCAAGUCUGCGAUCAGUAGCCGGACUGAGAGGUUGAACGGCCACAUUGGGACUGAGAUACGGCCCAGACUCCUACGGGAGGCAGCAGUGGGGAAUAUUGGGCAAUGGGGGCAAACCCCUGACCCAGCAACGCCGCGUGGAGGAAGAAGGCUUUCGGGUUGUAAACUCCUUUGACGAGGGACGAUGAUGACGGUACCUCGAAAACAAGCCACGGCUAACUACGUGCCAGCCGCUGC
rnacentral:rRNA from 1 species